rnacentral:rRNA from 1 species
GAGGGCAAGUCUGGUGCCAGCAGCCGCGGUAAUUCCAGCUCCAAUAGCGUAUAUUAAAGUUGCUGCAGUUAAAAAGCUCGUAGUUGGAUCUCAGUUACGGGCAGGUGGUUCACUUUACAGUGCUACUACCUGAACCGAACCUAUUGCUGGAUCUCUUGGGUGCCCUUCACUGGGUGCCCCUUGAGACCAGAGCGUUUACUUUGAGAAAAUUAGAGUGCUCAAAGCAGGCGAAUGCCUGAAUAGUUGUGCAUGGAAUAAUGAAAUAUGGCCUCGGUACUGUUUUGUUGGUUCACGGUGCUCGAGGUAAUGGUUGAAAGGGACUGACGGGGGCAUUCGUAUUGCGACGUUAGAGGUGAAAUUCUUAGAUCGUCGCAAGACGGACUACUGCGAAAGCAUUUGCCAAGAAUGUCUUCAUUAAUCAAGAACGAAAGUCAGAGGUUCGAAGGCGAUCAGAUACCGCCCUAGUUCUGACCUUAAACGAUGCUAACUGGCGAUCCAGUGGGGGUAUUUAAAAUGACCUGCUGGGCAGCUUCUGGGAAACCAAAGUUUUUGGGUUCCGGGGGAAGUAUGGUUGCAAAGCUGGAACUUAAAGGAAUUGACGGAAGGGCACCACCAGGAGUGGAGCCUGUGGCUUAAUUUGACUCAACACGGGAAACCUCACCAGGCCCAGACACUAGAAGGAUUGACAGAUUGAGAGCUCUUUCUUGAUUUGGUGGAUGGUGGUGCAUGGCCGUUCUUAGUUGGUGGAGUGAUUUGUCUGGUUAAUUCCGAUAACGAACGAGAACUUUAGCCUACUAAAUAGAUAGCGGAUACUCAAAA